UACGAAGGGGGCUAGCGUUGCUCGGAAUCACUGGGCGUAAAGCGCACGUAGGCGGAUUGUUAAGUCAGGGGUGAAAUCCUGGAGCUCAACUCCAGAACUGCCUUCGAUACUGGCGAUCUCGAGUUCGGGAGAGGUGAGUGGAACUGCGAGUGUAGAGGUGAAAUUCGUAGAUAUUCGCAAGAACACCAGUGGCGAAGGCGGCUCACUGGCCCGAAUACUGACGCUGAGGUGACGAAAGCGUGGGGAGCAAACAGG
rnacentral:rRNA from 1 species